GGUCCAUGGAACUCGUGGUUUUCAUGCUCCAGGUGAAACGCAGCGAGCGGGGUUUCGCUUCUUUGUUUUCUUCCUUUUGCUCUGAAGACACAUUUCGACUGAAAUGCACAGUGGCAGGUUAUUAUUUAUUAAAUGAAAAUUUCCUGUGGCUU